AUUGAACGCUGGCGGCAUGCUUUACACAUGCAAGUCGGACGAGUGGCGAACGGGUGAGUAACGCAACGGAAAGUACCGAGUAAUGGGGGAUAACUGUAGGAAAGGACAGCUAAUACAGCAUAUUAUUCGAGAGGCCGAUGUCGGAUUAGAUGGUUGGCGGGGUAAAGGCCCACCAAGGCGACGAUCAGUAGCGGGUCUGAGAGGAUGAUCCGCCACACUGGGACUGAGACACGGCCCAGACUCCUACGGGAGGCAGCAGGGGUGAAUUUUGGACAAUGGGCGCAAGCCUUACCCAGCCAUGCCGCUUGUCUGAAGAAGGCCUUCGGGUUGUAAAGCACUUUCAGCUGGGAGGCGUUACCCGCAGAAGAAGCACCGGCUAACUCCGUGCCAGCAGCCGCGGUAAUAC
rnacentral:rRNA from 1 species